rnacentral:rRNA from 1 species
ACGUAGGGGGCAAGCGUUAUCCGGAUUUACUGGGUGUAAAGGGAGCGUAGACGGACUGGCAAGUCUGAUGUGAAAGGCGGGGGCUCAACCCCUGGACUGCAUUGGAAACUGUUAGUCUUGAGUGCCGGAGAGGUAAGUGGAAUUCCUAGUGUAGCGGUGAAAUGCGUAGAUAUUAGGAGGAACACCAGUGGCGAAGGCGGCUUACUGGACGGUAACUGACGUUGAGGCUCGAAAGCGUGGGGAGCAAACAG